GAACCAGUGUAGUAUAGUGGUUUGAUUGUUUGAACUACAACUCUGGAGACCAGGGUUCAAAUCCCUGCUAGUGCA